rnacentral:lncRNA from 1 species
GGAACUUAAGAGAGCUUAACGGGAGGAUCACUCAUCUUGGAAACAACAAUCUAGAAUGUCCUGGUUCUGAAAGUGGAUCAGUUAGGUUUCUUUCAUGCUACAUGAAUGGGCUUUUAUGCAGAGACAACAGAUUUCCAGUACACAAGACAGGAUUCAUGCUGCUUCCUUUUUUCCACUGUCCCAGGAAAAGAGCUAUGACGAUGGCCACUCGCGGGAAUUAAGUGAGGUAUCUGGGAAAUUGCAACACGUAGAAAGAAGACAACAGCUCAAUACUCAUCUCCCCGAGGACAAGUUUACUUCAGUUUAA